rnacentral:pre_miRNA from 1 species
GAUAUACUCCCUCCGUCUCAAAAUUCUUGUCUUAAAUUUAUCUAGAUAUAAAUGUAUGUAGUCACAUUUUAGUAUUUAGAUACAUCUAUUUCUAGAAUUUUGGGACGGAGGGAGUAUUUG